rnacentral:misc_RNA from 1 species
GAAAUGCGAUAAUUAAUGUGAAUUGCAGAAUUCAGUGAAUCAUCGAGUCUUUGAACGCACAUUGCUCCCCCUGGUAUUCCGGGGGGCAUGCCUGUCCGAGCGUCAUUGCUGCCCUCAAGCACGGCUUGUGUGUUGGGCUUCCGUCCCUGGCAACGGGGACGGGCCCAAAAGGCAGUGGCGGCACCAUGUCUGGUCCUCGAGCGUAUGGGGCUUUGUCACCCGCUCCCGUAGGUCCAGCUGGCAGCUAGCCUCGCAACCAAUCUUUUUAACCAGGUUGACCUCGGAUCAGGUAGGGAUACCCGCUGAACUUAAGC